AGAGCAGACCAUGCGGCCGCUCCGAGGCAGCGUAGAAGCCGCCGUUCGGGGAGGAAAGUCCGAGCUCCGCAUGGGCAGGACGGCUGCUAACGGCAGCCGGGGGCAACCCCAGGGAAAGUGCAACAGAAAUUAUACCGCCGCGCCGUGAACAUAGAACUACAGAGAUGUGCAGGUGCGGUAAGGGUGAAAUGGUGAGGUAAGAGCUCACCGCCUCCUGCGGUAACGCGGAAGGCAGGUAAACCCCGUCCGGAGAAAGGUUGAAUAGGUCCCGCUUUUCGGGCUGCCCGCCCGAUACCUUAUUUACCAUAAGGAGGCGGGACGGGUACCAACCGCAGAAGGCAGCGAGCGAUCUCUGUCUCAGAUGAAUGGCCGCGCAACACAGAACUCGGCUUACGGUCUGCUCUUAUU
rnacentral:RNase_P_RNA from 1 species